GGUGCGGUACCCAAGUGGCAUAAGGGAGCAGUCUGCAAAACUGUUAUUCGUCGGUUCGAGUCCGGCCCGCACCU
rnacentral:tRNA from 1 species